UCGUAACAAGGUUUCCGUAGGUGAACCUGCGGAAGGAUCAUUAAAAAAAAUUAUACACACUGUUUUUGCGAACAAAAAAAUAAAUCUUUUAUUCGAAUUUCUUAAUAUCAAAACUUUCAACAACGGAUCUCUUGGUUCUCGCAUCGAUGAAGAACGCAGCGAAUUGCGAUACGUAGUAUGACUUGCAGACGUGAAUCAUCGAAUCUUUGAACGCACAUUGCGCCUCGAGGCAUUCCUCGAGGCAUGCCUGUUUGAGCGUCGCAUCCCCUCUAACCCCCGGUUAGGCGUUGCUCCGAAAUAUCAACCGCGCUGUCAAACACGUUUACAGCACGACAUUUCGCCCUCAAAUCAGGUAGGACUACCCGCUGAACUUAAGCAUAUCA
rnacentral:misc_RNA from 1 species